rnacentral:rRNA from 1 species
UACGUAGGGUGCGAGCGUUAAUCGGAAUUACUGGGCGUAAAGUGUGCGCAGGCGGCCGCGCAAGUCGAGUGUGAAAGCCCCGAGCUUAACUUGGGAAUUGCGCUCGAAACUACGUGGCUGGAGUGUGGCAGAGGAAGGUGGAAUUCCACGUGUAGCGGUGAAAUGCGUAGAGAUGUGGAGGAACACCGAUGGCGAAGGCAGCCUUCUGGGCCAACACUGACGCUCAUGCACGAAAGCGUGGGGAGCAAACAGG